AGCAGCCGCGGUAAUUCCAGCUCCAAUAGCGUAUAUUAAAGUUGUUGCAGUUAAAAAGCUCGUAGUUGAAUUUCGGGAUCAAGGAAUCGGUCAUGCCUUGGUAUGUACUGGUUUUAUUGGUUCUCACCUUCUAAAGAACCAUAAUGUCAUUUAUUUGAUGUUAUGGGGAAUUAGGACUGUUACCUUGAAAAAAUUAGAGUGUUUAAAGCAAGCUUACGCUUGAAUACAUUAGCAUGGAAUAAUGAGAUAGGACAUCAGAUUCUAUUUUGUUGGUUUCUAGGAUCGAUGUAAUGAUUAAUAGGGAUAGUUGGGGGCAUUAGUAUUCAAUUGUCAGAGGUGAAAUUCUUGGAUUUAUUGAAGACUAACUACUGCGAAAGCAUUUGCCAAGGAUGUUUUCAUUAAUCAAGAACGAAAGUUAGGGGAUCGAAGACGAUCAGAUACCGUCGUAGUCUUAACCAUAAACUAUGCCGACUAGGGAUCGGAUGAUGUUAACUUUUUAAUGACUCA
rnacentral:rRNA from 1 species